rnacentral:rRNA from 1 species
UACGAGGGGGGCGAGCGUUGUUCGGAAUUAUUGGGCGUAAAGGGUGCGUAGGCGGUUUGGUAAGUCUUGUGUGAAAUCUCCGGGCUCAACUCGGAGCCUGCACGAGAAACUGCCGGGCUUGAGUGUGGGAGAGGUGAGUGGAAUUCCUGGUGUAGCGGUGAAAUGCGCAGAUAUCGGGAAGAACACCCGUGGCGAAGGCGGCUCUCUGGGACGGUACUGACGCUGAGACGCGAAAGCGUGGGGAGCGAACAGG